AGAGUCGGAGCGGAGCUGCUCUCGGACAACAUCUCCAGGACUCUACGCUCCAUUUGACUAGGCAGUUUGUGAAGACAGAUAAUCAAGAGAUGUGACAAACUGUACAGAAGUCAGUUCCAGAUCCACCCUCCACACCAGACCUCUCUCUCAUAUGGACUGCUGUCUACUAGCAUACUUCGGUGGAUGCAGAUAUUUCUCAGGGACAUGAACACUUGAAUAUUGCAAGCAUAGAGAAAGUAAGAAUUACUGAAGAUUUAAGAAUUUAAUAUUAAUUGCUUAAACAUUAUAUAUACUGUUUUAGCAAUUAACAUUAAUAGUUUUUUUUUUGUUUGUUUUUUUGGUGUCCAAAGCACCUAAAAGCCA